rnacentral:rRNA from 1 species
GAUGAACGCUAGCUACAGGCUUAACACAUGCAAGUCGAGGGGAAACGGCAUUAAGUGCUUGCACUUUUUGGACGUCGACCGGCGCACGGGUGAGUAACGCGUAUCCAACCUUCCCAUGACUAAGGGAUAACCUGCCGAAAGGCAGACUAAUACCUUAUGGUCUUCACUGACGGCAUCAGAUGUGAAGUAAAGAUUUAUCGGUUAUGGAUGGGGAUGCGCCUGAUUAGCUUGUUGGCGGGGUAACGGCCCACCAAGGCAACGAUCAGUAGGGGUUCUGAGAGGAAGGUCCCCCACAUUGGAACUGAGACACGGUCCAAACUCCUACGGGAGGCAGCAGUGAGGAAUAUUGGUCAAUGGGCGAGAGCCUGAACCAGCCAAGUAGCGUGCAGGAUGACGGCCCUAUGGGUUGUAAACUGCUUUUGUAUGGGGAUAAAGUCAAUCACGUGUGAUUGUUUGCAGGUACCAUACGAAUAAGGACCGGCUAAUUCCGUG